UUUUGGUUUACCUAUGACCGAACUAGUUAAGGAAAUACAAAUUUUAGUUUGUUCUCAGAGGUAAAACUAGGUGAAAAGAUAAAAAUACCUUCCCCUUCCCUGUAACCAAAGGGUACCAUAUUAUACUUUCUCUUUUUUCUUUUAUAAUAAGGGAACUACAGCAAAAAUAUGAAGUAGAAAAGAUUUACUGACAGUAUCAGAAUUGAGUAAGGCAUGCUCAGCAACACUCAGCCACGUGCCUUCCCCCCAAGAACCUCAUUCGAAAAGACACGCCAAAAAUAAAGUAGAUAACCAACAAGGAAAAAAAAAACACACCAAUAUGCCCAUGUGUACAUUUACAAAAAUAUAUGUGUGGAAAUGUUUACAUUUGAUAUGAUAAUUUAGGUGGAGGAAAUCAAAGUGAACUACUACCAAGAAGGGACCAACAGACAGUAUGGGAAACCAGAAUCCAAAGACAAUCUUUUAUUUUUUCCUUUAGUCAUAAAAAUCUUUCCAGAAAAAUAAACCACUUAAUAGUUGGCUACCUCCCCUUACCACUCUUCUGAAUUUAAAGGCAAGAAACAUGGAAACUGUGCAAGAAGUUAAAAAAAAAUGCUGUAAAGGACCUAAGGAGAUCUAAAAACGCAGACAUCCAUGCCUGACCUGUGACAUUGUCUGCAGAGCCGGUCAGUGUACAUGCGGAUGGACAGACAGGCUGUGCAUCUACCCUUACCCCUGUGGUCGGCACAUUCG
rnacentral:lncRNA from 1 species